AUGCUGGAGGUAUCAGAAGUGCGAAUGCUGACGUGAGUAACGACAAAACGGGUGAAAAACCCGUUCGCCGAAAGACCAAGGGUUCCAGUCCAACGUUAAUCGGGGCUGGGUGAGUCGACCCCUAAGGCGAGGCCGAAAGGCGUAGUCGAUGGGAAAAUGGUUAAUAUUCCAUUACUUCUGUGUAAUGCGAUGAGAGGACGGAGAAGGCUAAAUCAGCCUGGCGUUGGUUGUCCAGGUGAAAGGAUGUAGGCAUGUAUCUUAGGCAAAUCCGGGGUACUCUAUGCUGAGAUCUGAUAGCAAGCUGUACUUGUACAGCGAAGUGGUUGAUGCCAUGCUUCCAGGAAAAGUCUCUAAGCUUCAGUUACACAGGAAUCGUACCCGAAACCGACACAGGUGGUCAGGUCGAGUAGACCAAGGCGCUUGAGAGAACUCUGCUGAAGGAACUAGGCAAAAUGGUACCGUAACUUCGGGAGAAGGUACGCUGUUGUUGGUGAUGGAACUCGCUUCCUGAGCUGACGACAGCCGCAGAAACCAGGCCGCUGCAACUGUUUAUUAAAAACAUAGCACUCUGCAAACACGAAAGUGGACGUAUAGGGUGUGAUGCCUGCCCGGUGCUGGAAGGUUAAUUGAUGGGGUUAGCGUAAGCGAAGCUCUUGAUCGAAGCCCCAGUAAACGGCGGCCGUAACUAUAACGGUCCUAAGGUAGCGAAAUUCCUUGUCGGGUAAGUUCCGACCUGCACGAAUGGCAUAAUGAUGGCGGCGCUGUCUCCAGCAGAGGCUCAGUGAAAUCGAAAUCGCUGUGAAGAUGCAGUGUACCCGCGGCUAGACGGAAAGACCCCGUGAACCUUUACUGCAGCUUGACACUGAACUUUGACCUUACUUGUGUAGGAUAGGUGGGAGGCUUUGAAGCUGGAACGCUAGUUCCAGUGGAGCCGUCCUUGAAAUACCACCCUGGUAAUGUUGAGGUUCUAACUCUGUCCCGUGAUCCGGGACGAGGACCGUGUCUGGUGGGUAGUUUGACUGGGGCGGUCUCCUCCUAAAGAGUAACGGAGGAGUACGAAGGUGCGCUCAGCGUGGUCGGAAAUCACGCGUAGAGUAUAAAGGCAAAAGCGCGCUUAACUGCGAGACCCACAAGUCGAGCAGGUACGAA
rnacentral:rRNA from 1 species